CCUACGGGUGACAGCAGUGAGGAAUAUUGGUCAAUGGGCGCGAGCCUGAACCAGCCAAGUAGCGUGAAGGAUGACUGCCCUACGGGUUGUAAACUUCUUUUAUAAAGGAAUAAAGUGAGGCACGUGUGCCUUUUUGUCUGUACUUUAUGAAUAAGGAUCGGCUAACUCCGUGCCAGCAGCCGCGGUAAUACGGUGGAUCCGAGCGUUGUCCGGAUUUAUUGGGUUUAAAGGGAGCGCAGAUGGGUUGUUAAGUCAGUUGUGAAAGUUAGCUGCUCAACCGCAAAAUGGCAAUUGAUACUGGCAGUCUUGAGUACAGUUGAGGUAGGCGGAAGUCGGGGUGUAGCGGUGAAAU
rnacentral:rRNA from 1 species